AGUGAACGCUGGCGGUAGGCCUAACACAUGCAAGUCGAACGGCAGCACAUUAAGAGCUUGCUCUUACGGGUGGCGAGUGGCGGACGGGUGAGGAAUACAUCGGAAUCUACUUUUUCGUGGGGAUUGCGUAGGGAAACCUACGCUUAUACCGCCUAAGACCCACCGGUGUAAACCAGGGAUCUUCGGACCUUUCGCGAUUUAAUGAUGCGAUGUCGGAUUUGCUUGUUGGCGGGGUAAAGGUCCACCAAGGCGACGAUCCGUAGCUGGUCUGAGAGGAUGAUCAGCCACACUGGAACUGAGACACGGUCCAGACUCCUACGGGAGGCAGCAGUGGGGAAUAUUGGACAAUGGGCGCAAGCCUGAUCCAGCCAUACCGCGUGGGUGAAGAAGGCCUUCGGGUUGUAAAGCCCUUUUGUUGGGAAAGAAAAGCAGCAGGUUAAUACCCCGCUGUUCUGACGGUACCCAAAGAAUAAGCACCGGCUAACUUCGUG
rnacentral:rRNA from 1 species